rnacentral:rRNA from 1 species
AGCGAACGCUGGCGGCAGGCCUAACACAUGCAAGUCGAACGGAUCCUUCGGGAUUAGUGGCGGACGGGUGAGUAACACAUGGGAACGUGCCCUUUGGUUCGGAACAACUCAGGGAAACUUGAGCUAAUACCGGAUGUGCCCUUCGGGGGAAAGAUUUAUCGCCAUUGGAGCGGCCCGCGUCUGAUUAGCUAGUUGGUGAGGUAACGGCCCACCAAGGCGACGAUCAGUAGCUGGUCUGAGAGGAUGAUCAGCCACACUGGGACUGAGACACGGCCCAGACUCCUACGGGAGGCAGCAGUGGGGAAUCUUGCGCAAUGGGCGAAAGCCUGACGCAGCCAUGCCGCGUGAAUGAUGAAGGUCUUAGGAUUGUAAAAUUCUUUCAGCGGGGACGAUAAUGACGGUACCCGCAGAAGAAGCUCCGGCUAAUUUCGUG